rnacentral:rRNA from 1 species
UGAGUAACCUGCCCUUAACUCUGGGAUAAGCCUGGGAAACUGGGUCUAUACCGGAUAUGACUCCUCAUCGCAUGGUGGGGGGUGGAAAGCUUUUUGUGGUUUUGGAUGGACUCGCGGCCUAUCAGCUAGUUGGUGUGGGUAAUGGCCCACCAAGGCGACGACGGGUANCUGGUCUGAGAGGAUGGCCAGCCACAUUGGGACUGAGACACGGCCCAGACCUCCGUACGGGAGCAG